CCACUCCCGUGUGGCCAACAACGACGAGUUCCAGCCAUCACUCAAUGUGAAGUCACUCUAACUUGAAAGCUGGUCAACGUGUGUUAUUUAAUCCGACUGUUACAAGAACAGGAAUCAAGACGCCCGUAGGGGAACAGGCGCGACCGUUUUAAUGACAGUAACGAUAUAUCCUUACUGAAUGACCGUGACGACUGACCACGGAUCUGGAUCGCAUUCAAGAGCCACACUCGGCGCCAAUCCAAAGCAGCAAACAGCUCCGAGGGCACUAGCGCAUGUCGCGCAUUUCUGCAAGUAGGCUUCACCGCAGUAUUACAAAAGACACUCGCACGAUCAUCCCAGCUUCAUCGUGUGGGGGUGAUCCAUGGGAGCACGGAGAGACGUUGCGCACGGAUUGUUUCAGCGGGCAAGUUGUGGUGUUAUUCCAGUUUUGUAGAGGAUUACCGUGCCUCCUACGAAUGAACGCAUCGUUACAAUGAGGCUUGUGCAGUGACAUCACGUUUGGUCACAUGAUUCGGAAAAACAUAGUCAACAGUAGGUGGGCAUGCCGUUAGUUGUUGCGGUAUGUGUGCAAUUGCGAGGAGAUUUGUAAAAACGCGCACUGUUGCCUCAUUGGUUCGGCAGUAUGACGCCUGUGACG